AAGUCGUAACAAGGUUUCCGUAGGUGAACCUGCGGAAGGAUCAUUAUUGAAUAAACUUGAUGGAUUGUUGCUGGCUCUGCUGAGCAGGUGCACGUUUGUCGUUUUUAUCUUUCCACUAUGUGCAUCAUGCAUAGACCUGAUAUAUUUUACUAAUCAAAGUUGCUUUGAUUUUUGGAAACUGCUGUUGUAAAUCACAGCUUUUUCUGUAUUUCAGGUUCUGUGAAAUUUAUUUAUACUCCUGUGUAUGUUAACGAACGUUAUAAAGGCUGCAAAGCCUAUAAAUUUAUAAUACAACUUUCAGCAACGGAUCUCUUGGCUCUC
rnacentral:misc_RNA from 1 species